UACGUAGGCAGCGAGCGUUGUUCGGAGUUACUGGGCGUAAAGCGUGCGUAGGCGGUUGUCUAAGUUUGGUGUGAAAUCUCCCGGCUUAACUGGGAGGGUGCGCCGAAAACUGGGUGACUGGAGUGCCGGAGAGGUAAGCGGAAUUCCUGGUGUAGCGGUGAAAUGCGUAGAGAUCAGGAGGAACACCUGUGGUGUAGACAGCUUACUGGACGAUAACUGACGCUGAGGCACGAAAGCGUGGGUAGCAAACAGG
rnacentral:rRNA from 1 species